GAUGAACGCUGGCGGCGUGCCUAACACAUGCAAGUCGAGCGAGAUAAAUGUGAGUGGAGACUUCGGUCAAAGCAAUCAUUUUGAAAGCGGCGGACGGGUGAGUAACGCGUGAGCAAUCUGCCCCAUACAAAGGGAUACCCACUGGAAACGGUGAUUAAUACCUUAUAAGACCACGAAGUCGCCUGGCUUAGUGGCCAAAGAUUUAUCGGUAUGGGAUGAGCUCGCGUCUGAUGAGCUAGUUGGUGAGGUAAUGGCUCACCAAGGCGACGACCAGUAGCCGACCGGGGAGGGUGAACGGCCACACUGGAACUGAGACACGGUCCAGACUCCUACGGGAGGCAGCAGUGGGGAAUAUUGCACAAUGGGCGCAAGCCUGAUGCAGCAACGCCGCGUGAAUGAUGAAGGCCUUCGGGUCGUAAAGUUCUGUCCUAAGGGAAGAAUACAGUGACGGUACCUUAGGAGGAAGCCCCGGCUAACUACGUGCCAGCAGCCGCGGUAACAC
rnacentral:rRNA from 1 species